ACGGAACUUACUUCCACGCCUAUUGGUUGCCGUAAGUAGCUACAAACCAAUCGGCUUCCGCGCACUCGGACGGUCGCUCUGAUUGGUUCUUUCGGACGGAUUUAAAAAUCAAGUCCUCACCACCCGACCUGCCGGCUCCGGAGUUACAGUGUUUUUUUGUUGUUGUGGGGAGGCGGAGCCCACGUGCUCUUGCAGAGUCUGAAGGCCUUUUGGAACCGCUAUUUCCGCAAGAAAGUAGGAACCGGCCGGGCUGAUUAGGAGAGUGUGGUCUAUCACCUACAGCCGGCGGAAUUGUGUGGGCUGGCGAACAUUCUUAAUGCUGCGCACUAGGAGAAUUCACUUCUGAGGUCUUCGAACCAGAAAACAAGAACACUUGACUGUUUAAAAAAACACAGGUGCCUGUGCCUUGUGAUAACCAGGAGAUACAGCCCAGGGCGGGGGAGUACGUGUCCGACCAAAGCAGCCUCCUACCCGGCACCACCACUACUGGCCGAGAGGCACUGGGCAAACUAGUCUCUUCACCCAUAUCCACCUACUAGGGUGGUUACGAGAACGAAGUGAGAUCAUCCGUGUAAAGCUCUCAGCGACAUGCCAUGCGGUAUUCAAAGGACGGCUGCUUCCUGUUCUGCCUUGGUUGUCACCUAAUCAUCUGCGAUUUCUACCGGAACAAUGAAGGUGAUGUUUCCACCUCAAAGUAAGCUUAUAAGGACUUCUGGAAGGAGAAGAGUCAGCAGCCCAUAAGAUGGUAACCGAGCUUUCUUACAUUGCACACUGUUCCAGAGGUUUGGUGCAGCUAUCAACGUUAACAGACAGGACGGUGUCAAGAAGAGAGCCAUAUCUGGACUGGCCCCUUGAUUCUGAACACCAUAAUUAUGAGAAGAAAUGACUCGACAGUCCCAGAAGGCGUGACUUCGUGCCAGUCCAAAGCAACCUCUUGUGUGCCGGAGGAACCAUGGACCUGACUUGCCACUUCUGACUCCACGCAGGUGAGAACAUCAACUCAUGGGCGUCUCGGGGACUAAUGAAAUAAGCAGUAGCAAGGUAUUAAAGUUCUUCGAAAGGAUUUGCUGUCUGAUCUUAUAGCAGCAGCAUCCAUUUCCUCUUUUGCUGGGAACACUCAGAUAAACGUGGGAAAGGAAGGACUUGAAAUAACUGGAGACGUAAACUCUGAAUAUGUGUCUUCUCGGUAGCACAAUUUAUUAUUGGCCAAGUAGGGCUGUCCCCUGGGGAACCACUGUAAGGGGGGAGUUUAGAACACACUCUAUCCUGCCGAUGUUUUUAUUUCCCCUGUUUUUACCGUCCCAUCUAAUUUCGGCCACCUGACUCACAGUGGUACUUAAAAAACCCUGCAGCAACAUAAUAGAAUAAAAUGAACGUGAACUUCAGAAGUAGAGAUGAGGAGGCCUGAAUCUUGGUUCUACCAUUCACUUAGGUACUCGAUGUUUUAGUACAUGUCUAAGUACAAGGUACUUAAUGUCUUGAGGUCUCAGUUUAUUUCUCUGGGAGACAAGAAGAAACACCAACCUGAAUGUGUUAGUCUGCCCAGGCUGCCAUAACAAAAUACUACGGACUGUGUGGCUUAAACAACAGAAAUUGAAUUUCUCACAGUGCUGGAGGCUGGAAGUCCAAGGUUAAGGUGCUGUCAGGGUUAAUUUCUGGCGAGGCCUCUCUCCUUCUUUCUUGCUAUGUCCUCAUGUGGCCUUUCCUCUGUGCAUGCACAGAAAGAAGGGCUCUGGUAUCUCUUCCUACUGUUAGAAGCAUACCAGUCCUACUGGAUAAGGGUCUCACCCUUAUGACCACAUUUAACCUUUAAAAAAAAUGUUUUUUAAUGUUUAUUUUUGAGAGAGAGAGAGAGAGAGAGAGAGAGAGAGAGAGAGAGAGAUCCGAAGAGGCUCCAGGCUCUGAGCUGUCAGCACAGAGCCUGACAUGGGGCUCAAACCCAUAACCAUAUCAUGACCUGAGCCGAAGUCGGACGCUCAGCUGACUUAACCUUAAUUAUCUCCACAAAGGCCUGAUUUUCAAAUACAAUCAUAUUGGGGGUUAGGACUUCAACAUAUGAAUUUUGGAGGAACACAGUUCAGUUCAUGACACUCAAACACUGUCACAAGGAUUAUUUCAGAUUAUAUAUACACAGGACCUAGCCUUGUUCCUACAGCAUAGUCAGUGCUCAGUGGAUAUUGAUUCCCUUACCUUCCACCCUGUGUCACUUACCUCCCUAGUGGGUCGCUUUCUUCUCUACACAUGAGAAGCUGGAUUUGGCCCUUUGCAUAGAUGGAAUAGAUAGUUACAGAGUGAACAGAGGGAUUCCCAAGACUUGAGUUUGGUAAAAAAUUUCUCCCUUCCCUCAUUGGUGUGGUUUCCAGUUGUAGGCCUCCUUUUCCCAGCUACUGUCUCCAUUCUGGGAACUGUCCUUUCCACAUGAAGGGCUGGGUCCAGCCACAGCAGCCUGUUCCUUCUCCAACACCCUGGUUUGACAUCUCAAGCCACGUUCUUUCUCCUGAGAAUUUGGAUAUGAGAUUCAGUCCCUGCUGAAGGACAGAAGCCAGCCUGCAGAUACAGAAUGAGGUUGAUGAUAAUGUUGAUAGGUACCAUAAUUGAGAGCUCAGUGUGUGUCAGGUACCGUUCUAAGAGUUGUUCACAUGUUGACUAAUUUAAUCAUCACCACAACUCUACGAAGUAGAUAUGUUCAUCAUUUCCCCCUUUUUACAUCACUUCCCUUUUUGAGGAAAUUCAGGUGUGAGAGUAUUUGCCCAGGGUCACAUAGCUAUUAAGUCUGGACACAGGCAAGAGUAGAGGAUCUUACCUCCAGACAGAAAAGCAGAGUAUCCUCACGGUUCUUUGGUCUUGCCCUUCUUUCUCACGGAUUCCAUGACAUGUUUCGGUAUCUUGCCAAUGAAUUCCUUUUUUGCUUUAACAGUCUGAAGUGGGGUUUUGUUCUUAAACCAAGGGAACUUGUGUUAAGAUGGUGGCCCUGGCCUAUUAGAUCUGUUGCACUCAACAUUAGAGGAUGUUUUUGAGAUUAACAACCAUAGAUAAGUGACUAUGGAAAACGGUUUGUUAAUGAUUCAAUUCCAUUACAAAGUUUAAAAUUGGUUAAAUCACAAUGAAGAAGGUCUCCUAGAAGAGAUUACGGGAGCAGUAAAAGCCUCCUUUUCCCGAAAACACAUGAUUUUAAGCAGUAACGAUGGGGUAAGCUCAUCACUAGCAGUGUGCCCUACAAAGGACGUGGUGAUUUGAUGUGUGUGUGCAUAUGCCAGUGUGUUGGGAGAGAAGUUGUGUGUUUUCUAUCAAGCCUGGAAAAGCUGGAAGGCAAUGUUGGGGCUGAGGGAAGUGAGGAAAGGUGAGCCAGGUGAAUACGAUUGGAGAGCUUAUGCCUUUAAGGUAUGAUUCAAAGGGUGUUUGCAACCCAAGGUGAAAUUAGUACAGAAGGAUAAUGAAUACAUUGAAAUUGGUGAGAUACUUAAUACUGCCUAGGUUUUAUUUCCUUUAAAUCUUGCUGAAAGUACCAGUUAUGCAGGUGCAUUACUCUUUCUAGAGUGUUCUUGAUUAAUACAUACUGCUAGUGCAUAGACUUUUUAAAGAGUAACCAACUGGCUGAAUCAUGUACAUUUUCAUUGGAAAAACUAGUGAUGUGCCUAGAGUGAGUCUGCCUGAUGUCCAGAUAGCUAGCUGAUAUCAUUGCCCAGUGGUCAACUGUAGCUGCCGGAAGAGCUGGCAAAGCGUCUCAGGACACUGAUUCGCCUUUCUCCUCCCAGCCUGAAAAAAGUACAACCUCAAAAUGUUUGUGUUUGACAUUCUUUCCAGAAGGAAGUAACAAGGAAAUAAUUCACUUGUGGCUUAGGUUGACUGGCAUGGAAAUGGAGGCUCUUUCUCCUUUGGCUCAGGUCAGGGAGUAGUCAGUCCCUGUGGGAGGCAGAGCGCCUUCUGCUGAAGAAUGGGUAAAGGAAAGAGAAAUGAAAUGGAGAGGAAAUGGCCAGAGAGGAGGAUGCGUCAGGAGCGGGAGAGUUGAAACAUUACGACACAUGACGAAAUGGAGACACUGUGUGACAUGAAAGGAUGCAGGUAAUGCCAAACCUCCAAACUACAGAGCAAACCCAAAUAAACAGUGUACUCUCUCAUCUAAUCUGUGCCUCCGUAAGUCUCUCAUCAUUUUCCCAAUAUUUGAGAAGAAUGUGACUUCCUGGCUUAGUCAACCUUGGGAAAGGCUGGGAUGGGGGCCCUUCUCUUACUCAAACGAAAAGCCUCAAAGAUGCAACCAGGAGGGAAGAAGGGCUCAGUCUUCUGCAUCAGAAAUGAUUCUUCCAAAGCAGGUACCAUGAAACUAUCUCUAAAGGGAGAAUACAUAGUGCCCUGGUCACCACAUUGCACAACUCCAGAGAAUGCCAUUCACACUCCAGACUAUUUUAGCUCAUGGAGUGGCAUUGGGUACUAUACUCGUGGCUGUACACAACAACUCUGCAGAAUCAUGUAGCUUUAAAAAAAAAUCACCAGAUAACAAGAAGUUCAUAUUGUAGUCAAUUAGCUAAUUUGUUUUCAUUAAUAAGGAGCUCCGAAUGCACACAACGAUUAAAGCACUCUUAAAUUUCAUCCUUCCAAAGUGUUCUCUUUCUUCCCUUCUCAUGCUUAACAUGUUUUUGUGUUAAUAAUCUAGACUUAUUUUGUUAUAUUUGUGCUGUUAAGUCAGUGGUUCUGAAUUAAAGGGGGGUGGUAUAACAGAAUUACUUUGGAAAUGUUUUCAAAAACAUCAACAGGAGAAUGGAUAAGCAAAGUGAUAUGUACACACACAUAUACACACACACACAGUGUAAUUCCAGUCAUAUGAAGUUUGAGAACUAGCAAAACUACCCUAUAGUGACAGAAGUUAGCCUGGAGAGGUGAUACAGACUGAGAGGUCACACAAGGGAAAUUUUUGUGGUGAUGGACAUUUUCUGUAUCUUGGUCUGGACGGUGGUCCCAUGGAUGCAUCCAUAUAAAAAAAAACCGUCAAACUGUACAUGCAAUGAAGGUCGUGCUUUUUAUUGAAUGUGAAAAUGUUCUCAAUAAAAUACUGUCUAAAAAUAUGAGUUACACACAUACACCGACCCAAGCCUCCACCCUGAACUCAGGGACUAAGAUGAAUGAAAUAGGGGGAGCAGGGGAUACAGACCAGCAUUAUGUAUUUUUAAAAAGCUCCCCAUUGUUAUUUCCCACCAUUA